rnacentral:rRNA from 1 species
GACGAACGCUGGCGGCGUGCUUAACACAUGCAAGUCGAACGGAAAGGCCCUGCUUUUGUGGGGUGCUCGAGUGGCGAACGGGUGAGUAACACGUGAGUAACCUGCCCUUGACUUUGGGAUAACUUCAGGAAACUGGGGCUAAUACCGGAUAGGAGCUCCUGCUGCAUGGUGGGGGUUGGAAAGUUUCGGCGGUUGGGGAUGGACUCGCGGCUUAUCAGCUUGUUGGUGGGGUAGUGGCUUACCAAGGCUUUGACGGGUAGCCGGCCUGAGAGGGUGACCGGCAAAAUGGGACCGAGAAAAGGCCCAGACUCCUACGGGGGGGAGCAGGGGGGAAAAAUGCAAAAUGGGGGGAAGCCCGAUGGAGCAACGGCGGCGUGGGGAAGACGGCCUUCGGGGUGGAAACCGGUUUCGGCUGGGAACAAGCGUGAGGUAACGGAAUGGGUAAAGAAGCACCGGCUAACUACGUG